rnacentral:sRNA from 2 species
CGCCCGUCACACCAUGAGAGUUUGUAACACCCGAAGCCGGUGGCGUAACCCUUUUAGGGAGCGAGCCGUCUAAGGUGGGACAAAUGAUUAGGGUGAAGUCGUAACAAGGUAGCCGUAGGAGAACCUGCGGCUGGAUCACCUCCUUUCUAAGGAAACAGACUGAAAGUCUGACGGAAACCUGCACACACGAAACUUUGUUUAGUUUUGAGGGGAUCACCCUCAAGCACCCUAACGGGUGCGACUUUGUUCUUUGAAAACUGGAUAUCAUUGUAUUAAUUGUUUUAAAUUGCCGAGAACACAGCGUAUUUGUAUGAGUUUCUGAAAAAGAAAUUCGCAUCGCAUAACCGCUGACGCAAGUCAGUACAGGUUAAGUUACAAAGGGCGCACGGUGGAUGCCUUGGCACUAGGAGCCGAUGAAGGACGGAACUAAUACCGAUAUGCUUCGGGGAGCUAUAAGUAAGCUUUGAUCCGGAGAUUUCCGAAUGGGGGAACCCAGUACACAUCAGUGUAUUGCUUGUCAGUGAAUACAUAGCUGGCCGGCGGCAGACGCGGGGAACUGAAACAUCUCAGUACCCGCAGGAAGAGAAAGAAAACUCGAUUCCCAUAGUAGCGGCGAGCGAAGUGGGAAGAGCCCAAACCGAGAAGCUUGCUUCUCGGGGUUGUAGGACUGGACAUUGGAGUUACCAAAGUCCGACGUAGUCGAAGUCAGCUGGAAAGCUGCGCCACAGAAGGUGA